rnacentral:rRNA from 1 species
AAACCAACAGGGAUUGCCUUAGUAGCGGCGAGUGAGCGGCAAAAGCUCAAAUUUGAAAUCUGGCACCUUCGGUGUCCGAGUUGUAAUUUGAAGAUUGUAACCUUGGGGUUGGCUCUUGUCUAUGUUUCUUGGAACAGGACGUCACAGAGGGUGAGAAUCCCGUGCGAUGAGAUGCCCAAUCCUAUGUAAGGUGCUUUCGAAGAGUCGAGUUGUUUGGGAAUGCAGCUCUAAGUGGGUGGUAAAUUCCAUCUAAAGCUAAAUAUUGGCGAGAGACCGAUAGCGAACAAGUACAGUGAUGGAAAGAUGAAAAGAACUUUGAAAAGAGAGUGAAAAAGUACGUGAAAUUGUUGAAAGGGAAGGGUUUGAGAUCAGACUCGAUAUUUUGUGAGCCUUGCCUUCGUGGCGGGGUGACCCGCAGCUUAUCGGGCCAGCAUCGGUUUGGGCGGUAGGAUAAUGGCGUAGGAAUGUGACUUUGCUUCGGUGAAGUGUUAUAGCCUGCGUUGAUGCUGCCUGCCUAGACCGAGGACUGCGAUUUUAUCAAGGAUGCUGGCAUAAUGAUCCCAAACCGC